CCUACGGGUGGCAGCAGUGAGGAAUAUUGGUCAAUGGACGAGAGUCUGAACCAGCCAAGUAGCGUGAAGGAUGACUGCCCUAUGGGUUGUAAACUUCUUUUAUAAAGGAGUAAAACGCGGCACGUGUGCCUUUUUGCAUGUACUUUAUGAAUAAGGAUCGGCUAACUCCGUGCCAGCAGCCGCGGUAAUACGGAGGAUCCGAGCGUUAUCCGGAUUUAUUGGGUUUAAAGGGUGCGUUGAUGGGUUGUUAAGUCAGUUGGGAAAGUUUGCGGCUCAACCGUAAAAUUGCAAUUGAUACUGGCAGUCUUGAGUACAGUUGAGGUAGGCGGAAUUCGUGGUGUAGCGGUGAAAUGCUUAGAUAUCACGAAGAACCCCGAUUGCGAAGGCAGCUUACUAAACUGUGACUGACAUUGAUGCUCGAAAGUGUGGGUAUCAAACAGGAUUAGAUACCCUUGUAGUC
rnacentral:rRNA from 1 species